CUACGGGGUGCAGCAGUGGGGAAUAUUGCACAAUGGGGGAAACCCUGAUGCAGCAACGCCGCGUGGAGGAUGACACAUUUCGGUGCGUAAACUCCUUUUAUAGGUCAAGAUAAUGACGGUAGCCUAUGAAUAAGCGCCGGCUAACUCCGUGCCAGCAGCCGCGGUAAUACGGAGGGCGCAAGCGUUACUCGGAAUCACUGGGCGUAAAGAGCAUGUAGGCGGGUUAAUAAGUCAGAAGUGAAAUCCAAUAGCUCAACUAUUGAACUGCUUUUGAAACUGUUAACCUAGAGUGUGGGAGAGGUAGAUGGAAUUUCUGGUGUAGGGGUAAAAUCCGUAGAGAUCAGAAGGAAUACCGAUUGCGAAGGCGAUCUACUGGAACAUUACCGACGCUGAGAUGCGAAAGCGUGGGGAGCAAACAGGAUAGAUACCCUUGUAGUC
rnacentral:rRNA from 1 species